rnacentral:rRNA from 1 species
AGCGUGGGGAGCAAACAGGAUUAGAUACCCUGGUAGUCCACGCCGUAAACGAUGAUCAUUAGUCGGCAGAGAACUGUUGACGCAGCUAACGCAUUAAAUGAUCCGCCUGAGUAGUAUGCUCGCAAGAGUAAAACUUAAAGGAAUUGACGGGGACCCGCACAAGCGGUGGAGCAUGUGGUUUAAUUUGAAGAUACGCGGAGAACCUUACCCACUCUUGACAUCCUUUGCAAAGCUAUAGAGAUAUAGUGGAGGUUAACAGAGUGACAGAUGGUGCAUGGUUGUCGUCAGCUCGUGUCGUGAGAUGUUUGGUCAAGUCCUGCAACGAGCGCAACCCCUAUCUUUAGUUACUAACGAGUCAUGUCGAGGACUCUAGAGAUACUGCCUGGGUAACUGGGAGGAAGGUGGGGAUGACGUCAAAUCAUCAUGCCUCUUACGAGUGGGGCAACACACGUGCUACAAUGGUCGGUACAAAGAGACGCAAUACGGUGACGUGGAGCAAAUCUCAAAAAGCCGAUCUCAGUUCGGAUUGAAGUCUGCAAUUCGACUUCAUGAAGUCGGAAUCGCUAGUAAUCGCAGAUCAGCUAUGCUGCGGUGAAUACGUUCUCGGGUCUUGUACACACCGCCCGUCACACCAUGGGAGCUGGUAAUACCCAAAGUCGGUUUGCUAACCUCGGAGGCGACUGCCUAAGGUAGGACUGGUGACUGGGGUGAAGUCGUAACAAGGUAUCCCUACGAGAACGUGGGGAUG